UGGGGAAUAUUGCACAAUGGGCGCAAGCCUGAUGCAGCAAUGCCGCGUGUAUGAAGAAGGCCUUCGGGUUGUAAAGUACUUUCAGCGGGGAGGAAGGGAGUAAAGUUAAUACCUUUGCUCAUUGACGUUACCCGCAGAAGAAGCACCGGCUAACUCCGUGCCAGCAGCCGCGGUAAUACGGAGGGUGCAAGCGUUAAUCGGAAUUACUGGGCGUAAAGCGCACGCAGGCGGUUUGGUAAGUCAGAUGUGAAAUCCCCGGGCUCAACCUGGGAACUGCAUCUGAUACUGGCAAGCUUGAGUCUCGUAGAGGGGGGUAGAAUUCCAGGUGUAGCGGUGAAAUGCGUAGAGAUCUGGAGGAAUACCGGUGGCGAAGGCGGCCCCCUGGACGAAGACUGACGCUCAGGUGCGAAAGCGUGGGGAGCAAACA
rnacentral:rRNA from 1 species